rnacentral:rRNA from 1 species
GCAUAUCAAUAAGCGGAGGAAAAGAAACCAACAGGGAUUGCCCUAGUAACGGCGAAGUGAAGCGGCAACAGCUUCAAAUUUGAAAUCUGGCGUAAGCCCGAGUUUGUAAUUUGUAGAGGAUGCUUCUGGGUAGCGGCCGGUCUAAGUUCCUUGGAACAGGACGUCAUAGAGGGUGAGAAUCCCGUAUGUGACUGGCUUGCACCCUCCACGUAGCUCCUUCGACGAGUCGAGUUGUUUGGGAAUGCAGCUCUAAAUGGGAGGUAAAUUUCUUCUAAAGCUAAAUACCGGCCAGAGACCGAUAGCGCACAAGUAGAGUGAUCGAAAGAUGAAAAGCACUUUGGAAAGAGAGUUAAAAAGCACGUGAAAUUGUUGAAAGGGAAGCGCCCGCAACUAGACUUUGCGGCGGUGUUCGGCUGGUCUUCUGACCGGUUUACUCGCCGCCGUAAGGCCAUCAUCGUCUGGGACCGCUGGAUAAGACCUGAGGAAUGUAGCUCCCUUCGGGGUGUGUUAUAGCCUCUGGUGAUGCAGCGCGUCUCGGGCGAGGUCCGCGCUUCGGCAAGGAUGAUGGCGUAAUGGUUGUCGGCGGCCCGUCUUGAAACACGGACCAAGGAGUCUAACAUCUAUGCGAGUGUUCGGGUGUCAAACCCCUACGCGUAAUAAAAGUGAACGGAGGUGGGAACUUUUUGUGCACCAUCGACCGAUCCUGAUGUCCUCGGAUGGAUUUGAGUAAGAGCAUAGCUGUUGGGACCCGAAAGAUGGUGAACUAUGCCUGAAUAGGGUGAAGCCAGAGGAAACUCUGGUGGAGGCUCGCAGCGGUUCUGACGUGCAAAUCGAUCGUCAAAUUUGGGUAUAGGGGCGAAAGACUAAUCGAACCCAUCUAGUAGCUGGUUCCUGCCGAAG